rnacentral:rRNA from 1 species
GACGAAGGUGGCGAGCGUUGUUCGGAAUCACUGGGCAUAAAGCGCACGUAGGCGGCCAAGUCAGUCAGGUGUGAAAGCCCUCGGCUCAACCGAGGAACUGCGCCUGAUACUGCUUGGCUUGAGGUCCGGAGGGGAGAGUGGAAUUCCCGGUGGAGCGGUGAAAUGCGUAGAGAUCGGGAAGAACACCAGUGGCGAAGGCGGUCUGCUGGGCCGUUGCUGACGCUGAGGCGCGACAGCGUGGGGAGCAAACAGG